CCUACGGGAGGCUGCAGUCGAGAAUCAUUCACAAUGGGGGAAACCCUGAUGGUGCGACGCCGCGUGGGGGAAUGAAGGUCUUCGGAUUGUAAACCCCUGUCAUGUGGGAGCAAACUAAAAAGAUAGUACCACACGAGGAAGAGACGGCUAACUCUGUGCCAGCAGCCGCGGUAAUACAGAGGUCUCAAGCGUUGUUCGGAAUCACUGGGCGUAAAGCGUGCGUAGGCUGUUUCGUAAGUCGUGUGUGAAAGGCGCGGGCUCAACCCGCGGACGGCACAUGAUACUGCGAGACUAGAGUAAUGGAGGGGGAACCGGAAUGCUCGGUGUAGCAGUGAAAUGCGUAGAUAUCGAGAGGAACACUCGUGGCGAAGGCGGGUUCCUGGACAUUAACUGACGCUGAGGCACGAAGGCCAGGGGAGCGAAAGGGAUUAGAUACCCCUGUAGUC
rnacentral:rRNA from 1 species